UACGGAGGGAGCUAGCGUUAUUCGGAAUUACUGGGCGUAAAGCGCGCGUAGGCGGCUAAUUAAGUCAAAUGUGAAAUCCCCGAGCUUAACUUGGGAAUUGCAUUCGAUACUGGUUAGCUAGAGUGUGGGAGAGGAUGGUAGAAUUCCAGGUGUAGCGGUGAAAUGCGUAGAGAUCUGGAGGAAUACCGAUGGCGAAGGCAGCCAUCUGGCCUAACACUGACGCUCAUGCACGAAAGCGUGGGGAGCAAACAGG
rnacentral:rRNA from 1 species